CACCUUGGCACAGGGAUCAGAAUGAAACUAGCCCAUUUCUCUGAUCCCUGAAGAUCAGAGGGAUUGACAACUCGAGACAGAUGGUCUGAUGUACUGGCCCCAAGGUGAGGCCAGAACUUGCACCUAGGUGAAAAUUCUCCUUGCCAGGACUUCAUUGGGGCUUUCCUGCAACGCACUUCAAGCAUCUCUCUGUUGGAGGAAUUUUGAUAGCAGAUAUCUGAAGAUAUAGGAUGGAUCCCAACUCAAAAUUUUGUUUAAAUGUUAAGACUGAUGAUGCCUCACACAUACUAUGAGAUUGUGAAAAGAUUUAUUACUCACAGAACAAGGCACCUGGGAAGAGGAAGGAGAGAGUGACCAUUAACGGACACAGCAGGUGGGGAGGCUCCGAGCUCUCACCACGACACAGACACACGUGGACCUCAAGGUGUACUCCAGCAAGUUUGGUGCCAACUCACAGCAAUUUAACAGCUGCAGGGAAAAUGGCAGCUCUCUUCUUAGAGAACUAUGUUUCAAGCUCACCAGAGAUACUAAUGUCUCAAAGUUAAAAUGAGGGGCAGAAAUUUGGAGUUUUAAAUGGACACCUGCUAGGUCCAAGGCUACACUCGACACCGCUACACUGGGGAUGCAGCAUAAAUAAGUGGGACUCCUGUUCUUACUUGGGAGCAUGUGGCGGUACUUAGAGGAAAUCUAAGGAAGCUGAUGAAAAUGAGGGCAC